AAGUCCACUGUAACAGACAAAGUUGAGCCUGUCUGCACAAUCCUGGCUGCGCCUCCAAUGAGAAGGCGCCACAGCGGUGAGUCCAGGUGGGACACCGUGGCAUCUCGUUUUGGCUCCUGGUCUCGUCCUCAGCAAGGAUUCAUCCACCCACAGCCAGGUGUCAGAUAGGUAGCGGAGGCUGGUCCAUACGAGAUCUGUCCGGGCUGUUGUGCUUAUCUGCAGGGUUUGCACAAGAGCAGAAUUUGAGAGCAAGCUGACUGGGUCAUGUCCUGGCUGCAACAGUGCUCGAGUGCUUCCUCCCACAUCUUGUUUUCUUUCACCAACAGCAGUGAUACCAAAGAUCAGCCACAGGACUCAGGCACCUUGCAGUCAUUGAGUCGACCGUGAAGAUGUGAGUCCAUCUGUCUGACAGCUAAAGCUUGACCAAAACUGGAUCAAGCAAAGGGACGGUGACCCCAAGCACACCAGGAAUCUACAACAGAAUGGUUGAAAAAGAAAAGAAUCCAGCUGCUGUAGUGGUCCAGUCAACAACCUGAUUGAAAUGCUGAAGCAUUUUUGUUCAAUAAAAGAAUACAUGAUGUAAUGUGUCAUGUGCUGUUGUUCAACUCAGGCUGAAGGGGUCUUUGGGACAUCCAAAAGAGCAACAUGCAGCCAAUCAUAGUGGAUUGGAGGAGGUUUAAAAAACACAGGAAAGCAUGGGCUGAUAUACUGAUAAAAACUGAGAGCAUUCAAAUGGUCACAUGAUGGAAAGCAGUGACUAAUGAUUGUCUUAAGGCUUUUGAAAGUAUUCCCAACUGUCUUUGCUAACUUAUACAAGCAGGGAAAGAAUAUUAAAGGAGCUCUUGAGCUUGAUUUGAAUUGUUUCUGUGGAACUGUCCGAACGCUGUACAUGCAAACAUCUGUACGUCAGUGUUUUGUUGGAGUGUUGAAUAGCUCCAGCAAUGGAUUCUAAAUCUAAGUGAAUAAAUAAAUGAAGGUUGUGGAAGAAAAUGAAGGAUUUAACAGUGCAUGGGCAAAUUUGUCUGCUUUCAC